AUGCCCGUCAAGUUGAAUAGCUCCUCUGCAGAAGGGGAGGGGAGGGUGCAUGGAGCCUGGCUUCAGAAGGUCCUCUGGGACCCGUCCCGAGUUGCUGCUGUCUGCCUGGUGCUGCUUGGAGGUGGCAGUCCUAACUUCUCUUUGUUGGAUAGUGACCACUCACGAAUACUGAGUGUGGAGUUCUGUGCCCAGGCGCUAGGGCCUGUGAUGGUUAGCAGGGUCAGAGGCCUCAUAAAGCUUACUGUCCUUUUCUCCCCCAACCCCCGGGGUGAGGGGCCCCUGCUUCGUCAAGCCAUAGUUCUCUCUGUCUCUGUCUGUCUCGCUCUCUCUCUCCCCCUCUUCUUUUCCCUCUGUCUCACGCACACAUGCCCUGACCCUCCCAGCCACAGGCACUGCCGUGGCAGUUACCUCUCCACUCCUCCACACCCACUGUGUGCCUGGCCCUGGGGCACAGCUGGGGACAAGAUGGACGUGGUCCCUGUCUGCUGGAGCUGCUGGUCAAGUGAGAGACACAAACGAGGACACACGACUCCCCCACCGAGAAGCCAACGUUGGGAUGGGGAAGGAAGCCCAAGGCGGCAGGAGCCCAGAGGAGGCACUGGCCCCUGGAGAGGGAUUCCGGGCGGACUCCCUGGGGGAGGCAGGACCUGAGCAGAGACCUGCAGGUGAGCAGGGGAAGAGGAGGGGAGGGGUUCCAGGCAGAGGGCCCAGCCUGGGCUCAGACCUGGAGGCCAGGGAGAGACUGUAGGCCGGUUGGAGAGCUGGAGCUGCAGUGCGGGGAGGGGGCUGGGAGGGGGCUGGGAGGAGGUCAGAGAGGCUGAGAGGGCCGCGUCGCAGCUGGAGGGGAGGGGAGUCUGGACUUGUCCUGAGGUCAGAGGGGGUCCUGGGAGGCCUGAGGCCAGGAGGGACAGGGUCCAAUGCUCUGCCUCACAGUCCACGGAGGUUCCUCUCUCCAUCUCUCCCUUUCUCCGUGCCCCCUUCUCCAUCUCUGUUUCUGCCUCUGUCUGUCUUUUUGUGUCUGUCUCUCUCUCUCUUACUGUGUCCGUCUCUGUCUCUUUCUCUCAGUCUGUGUCUCUGUCCGUCUCUACCCCCGCCUCCCCCGUCUCAUGACACACAGUCUCUCCGCCCUCUCCCUCUUGUCUUCACCACCAGCUGCUUAGAGGCUCCAGGAGCCCAGCCUGAGCCCCAGGCCCUCUGGCCUCAGUCCCGGGAGGGGAACCACAGGUUUCCACUUAUUUCUUGUGGUGGGAGGGACUGGGGCCUCUGCAGAGACACCAGUGAAGUCCUGAUUGCUCCCUCUUGAGCUUCUCCUAGUCCCUUGAUCUCCCAGGAGAGGGAUUUUCCCAAGAAGGAGAGAGUGGAAGCAGGAAUGAGGAAGGGUAGGGGCUGAGAGAGGCCUGUCUAGUCCCUACUUCAACUGCUCGGUGCAGGCACAUAGUAGGCCCUCAAUAAAUGCUGGAUGGAUGGAUGGGUGGAUGAAUGG
rnacentral:lncRNA from 1 species